rnacentral:rRNA from 1 species
AUGGAACUUGAUGAUGAUGCUGAUGAUCCGGAAGUUGAGGUAGAACUUGACUCACUUGACUCCCUUUUCAUGCAUCCCAUUAACAAUGAUCUUCCUCAGGAGGACGCAGAAGGCAGUCAAGCUGAUGAUGUAGAGGUAAUUACCCUUUCCUCCGGUUCAGACUCUAAGCCAACACAAAAAACCCGUCAAGCAGUCCAGAAAGUAAGCUUUUCUCAUCCUCUUGCUCAUUUGGAUCCAACAUUUAUUUUGAAGACUCAACAGCAUGAAGCUCGCCGGACAACCCGACACAGUGGCCAACAGGUUACUUCAACCGGUUUACCUGACACCCUGGUUCGGAAGCGCCGGUCUAAGGUCUCUCCUACUCCUGACAAUUCUUAUCCCAAGGCAGGUUAUUUCAGACAACCUCUUAAUCCGUCCGAUUCCAAUUAUUAG